UUGGGAAUGGCGAGUGCGUUGGAGACGCUGUGCGGGCAGGCGUACGGCGCGAAGAAGUAUCACAUGCUGGGGGUUUACCUGCAGCGCUCGUGGCUGGUACUCUCUCUGUGCUGCGUGGUGACGCUGCCGGUGCUGCUCUUCGCCGGACCGAUUCUGAAGGCGCUGGGGCAGCCGGCGGACGUGGCGGAGAUGUCUGGUGUGGUGGCGCUGUGCUUCGUGCCGCUCCACUUCAGCUUCGCGAUUCAGUUCCCGAUUCAGAGGUUUCUGCAGAGCCAGCUGAAGAACAGCGUGAUUGCUUGGAUGAAUUUGGGGGCGCUUGGGGUGCACGUGCUGCUGAGCUGGCUUGUUGUUUACAGGCUGCGACUGGGGGUUAUUGGUACCGCCCUCACUCUGAAUAUCUCGUGGUGGGUGGUGGUUUUGGGGCUGUUCUUAUACACCGUCUGCGGCGGUUGCCCGCUGACGUGGACUGGCUUCUCCACCGAGGCGUUCUCCGGUUUGUGGGAGUUUCUCAAGCUUUCUGCUUCUUCUGGUGUCAUGCUGUGGUACUCUCUCUCUCUCUCUCUCUCUCUCUCUCUCUCACACACACUCUCUCUCUCUCACUCACACACACACUUUUCAAAUAUUCCAAUAAUAAAUUAAUAAUUAAUCUAAACUCAAAAGACUUGACGAACAGUUAUAUAUACUAACCUUAAUGUUAGUCCCUUAAUGUUAGUCCAAUUUCAAAAUUAUAAUUGAAUUUGUAUAAAAUUGGAUUUACUUUUAAUGAAAUUAUAUAAUUUGUGAAAUCAAAUCCUUAUUUUUUUCUACAAAUUUAAAAUAUAUAUAUAUAUAUAUAUAUAUAUAUAUAUAUAUAUAUAUAUAUAUAUAUAUAUAUAUAUAUAUAUAUAUAUAUACCACGUUGAUUGUACUUGCUAAUAAAGGUAGGGAGCAAUCAUAUUUAAUUUCAAUAAGUAAAUCUAACUACCAAUAAGAGUCAGGGUUGUAUCGGUCAUGUCUCGAACCGUCGCGCUCAUACAAGGGUCGGAGCAUUCAUGGCUCGAUGUAUAUAUGUACCAAACUACGUACCUGGAACUAAUUACAAUUCCGAACCAAAUUUUGGUUCGCUAUAAUUCAAUACAAAUAUAAUUUUACGUACCAAAUGAAUCGAACCCUCCUAUACAACUAAUUAGUUUGAAUUAAUUAAGUAAUUUCUUUUUUUAGAAAAAUAUGACUCUAAUUUUCAUACUUUUUUUUUAAUUGUGACCAGCUUGGAGAAUUGGUACUACAGAAUUCUUAUAGUGAUGACCGGAAAUCUGAGCAACGCCGAAAUCGCAGUCGAUGCUUUGUCCGUUUGGUAUGCAAAUUUAAGUCUUCAUUUUCAGUCAUUUUAAAUAACUUUUUUUUUCGUCUUUCCAUUUUGCAUCGAUUGGUCCCUCGUAAAUUUUCUAUCUUGUCUUGAACUAAAAGUCGUGUUUAUAAUACGCACGCAAAUAUGGCUUUUUUUUUUUUUUUUUAAUCUACCUUCUAUAACAUGCAUUUUUUCUACAUAUUUUAUUUGUUUGUUUAAUGUAAUUUAACCAAGUUGAGAUUUGAUUUGACAAACGCAUCUUGAAUCGAGUAUCUAGCAGUUUGUUUUAAUUUUCGUCACUAGAAAACAAAGUCACGAUUUUAAUAUGAAUUUGUGUCAUUUCAUGUGACGUGGCAUUUCUAUAUAUGUAUGGAAUUUUCUUUGUGUGUGUGGCAAUAAAUUCUUAUCAUUACAUUACAACAUUACACGACGGUCAUUUUCAUUGUUUUGCUAUCGGAAUUCUCUUCUUCUUCUUUAUGGACAUUUUCUUUUUGUAAAUAUAUAUUUUAAUAAAAUAAAAUAAAAUAAUAUUGUGUUUUAACUUUAUCUAUUUGGUGCUUUGUGUAUAAAUGCAGCAUGAGCAUCAACGGUUGGGAAAUGAUGAUUCCUCUUGCAUUUUUCGCUGGAACUGGGUAAAUAUAAUAUAGUAUAAUAUAAUAUAUCGCUUAUUAUUUAUUUAUUUAUUUUGUUAUUUUAUACUUGUGAUAUAGUAAUAUAUUCUUUUUAUCGUUAUUAGUGCACAAAGUCGAAAUUGGGAAAGAGUAGACUACGUAAAAAUCGUCGAGAAAAUUUACAAUAAAUUUGGGGUAAUUAGAUACCACACGUGAAUUCAUGUAUUAAAAGAAUUUGUGAAAUAUUGAGGGGCCAUGGCCCCCGGGCCUAUGCUGGUGACAACUGACAAUCAUAUAGAUGGUCCUUAGUUUACUAUACAGAUGUCGAUAGUUGAUGCAUGCAAAAUUGAGGUCCACACAAAUGGAUUUUUGAAGUUUUUGUUUUCUUUUUUGAGAGGGCAUGUAUAUAUAUAUGAAGUUAAUAUGUAUGUAUAUGUGUAUGAGUAUAAGUUUGAAGGGUAAUUUGGUAAUAAUGUUGUGGUUGCAUGUACGACGAAAACGAAAAGAGUGAGGGUGGCGAAUGAACUUGGAGCAGGGAAUGCAAAAGGAGCAAAGUUUGCAACAAUAGUAUCUGUGAUUGAAUCAGUGAUAGUGGGAUUAGUAUUUUGGGUACUAAUAAUGCUAUUUCACAAUGAAUUAGCCCUAAUUUACACAACAAGUGAAGUUGUUCUAGAAGCAGUUAGCCACCUCUCUCUUCUCUUGGCUUUCACUAUUCUCCUCAACAGUGUUCAACCUAUUCUCUCAGGUACUUCAUUACUUUUUCAUUCACACACACACACACAUGUAUAUAUAUAUAUAUAUAUAUAUAUAUAUAUAUAUAUAUAUAUAUAUAUAUAUAUAUAUUUCUGAUUACAUAUUACCACCUAGCUUUUGAUUAAGACGGUCACUCAACAUCUAUGAAAUGAGGUGUGAAUUGCACCGAUCAAAAUUAGCAUUUUCAGAAGAGAUUUUUUUUUUUGGAGUGAAGAAAUUAUUUCCAAUUCCUUUCCACACAUUCAAAAAGAUAGGAAAAUCAGAUUUUCGAAAAUGUAAAUGAAGAGAGAGAUGUUCUGAAAUCAGAAAUUUUUCGGAUCAACAUGGUCAGAAUACAUAUAAGAAAAAAACACACAUAAUAUAUAGGAAGAAUAGAAUAGGAAAAAGAGAGAAAUAAUAAUACGUAAUAUAAACCCCCAUUGUGUUAUGGAUUGAUUUACAUGGAAUAUAUAGAGAAAUAAUACGAGUAAUAGAGUUUACUAGGUAACUAGAUCUAACUAAUCUAGAUAACUGAAUCAUAAUAAAAUCCUAAUAUUCUAUAAUAUCUAAUAAUAUAAUAUACUCUAACAAAAUAGUAUUCAUAUUCAUAAGUGUAUUUUUUGGGAAAGAAGCAUUGGGAUUUUCAGAAAUAUUUUCGAAAAUUAAAAUUGGAUCAAAAAUCGGAAUCUAAAAUAUAAUCCAAUUCCGUUGCAAAUAACCAUAAAUCACAAUGAAAUUUUGUGUUCCAUAAUGGGAAACAUUCAGAUCGCAAUGGGCGAAAUCCCGAAAAUUUUGUUUCAACUUCAACCUCAUGUGAGAAAUAUCGGCCUUAUAUACUCCUAUACUGACUCCGCCACUGAACUUAAGAUUUUCUAUAUUCUUAUAUUUUCUCCCCACUAAUAAGUUUUAUAAGUGAAUUCAUUUUGAUCAAAAUAAAUAAGUAAAUUUGUAUAAUUGUGAAAAUUAUUAAUCUGUUUUAUUUUUAUUUUUAUUUUAUUUUUAAUUUUUUUUUAAGGUGUGGCUGUUGGUUCGGGAUGGCAGUCAUACGUGGCAUACAUAAACCUUGGUUGCUACUAUUUAGUUGGACUCCCACUUGGAAUUCUCAUGGGAUGGGUUUUCGAUCAAGGAGUUAUGGUACGAUUUUUUAUUUUUUUUUCUUUUUUUUUUAUUUUAAAUUUUUGAUUUUAUAUUUAUUUGAAUUAUUUUUUGAGAUUUAAUAAAUUUCAUUCAUAUAUCACUACCCCAUUAAUUAAUUGACAAAAUAUUUUAAAUUUCAGGGUAUUUGGGCUGGUAUGAUAUUUGGGGGAACUGCAUUUCAGACAGCCAUUCUGGCCGUUAUCACAAUUCGAUGCGACUGGGAAAAAGAGGUAAGAAUCGACAAAGUAUCAAAAUUUUGUUACAAUUUUCAUAGUAGCCGCCAACAAUCUCAUCUGAUACACAUCGUGUUUAUUAAAAUGCAGGCGGCGAAGGCAACUACGCACGUAAAAAAGUGGUCGGAAUCGACAAAUAAUGCUGCAUGAACAAAUUGAACGGAUAGAAUUGAUGAUCUUUUUCUUGCUCGGAAAGUUGGUAGAGUUUCAACAUUUUUUGUUGAUGAAUUAGUUGGGAAUAACUUCGAUAUUAUAUUCGACAAAAAUAUAACGUUGCAUGAUGAAAAUAAAGUUUCAACUGUACUUUAUUUUCCUGGUAUUUUAGUAUAUGAUCCAUAAGGUUAUGUAACAAGGAAAUUGAAGACUAUAAUAUAUGGUUUUUCCAGUAGUUUGUAAAGUGCAAUUUAAUCUGUCCAAAACAUACAUAUUAAAUUAUAUUUAAGCCUAUGUAUAUAUACAUAUAUGUUAAUGAUCUAUUAUUUUUUAAUUACACUCAUCAAUAUAUAUGUAUUUACUUUGUACAUUGGUACUCCGGCUACGCUGCCUCCGGAGACGAACGGGGUUGGCUCGGGUGUCCGAGUUCAGCUUGGAUUGGAAAGUGCGACCGAGUUGGUCCGAGUUGGAUUAAUUGGAAAAUAUGAUUAAUAUUAAACAUAUUUUCAUUUUUUAAAUUAUAAUUCAAGUUUAUUCCACACCAGAUGCUCCCGCUGCCCCUGUAAACACUCUGGAGCCGUUUCUAGAGAGAGAGAAACAGAGGAGAGAGAAACAAAUUAGAGAGAUGUCAAGCAGAAGCUAUCAAAAUGAAGAAACCCUAACAACUCCCCUGUUAGACUACACUUGCUCUUUAUUGAGAUAUGAGAGAGAAAGUGAAACAUAGAAAGUAAAGAGGAAUUGAUUCACAAUUGUUUUCAUUGAUUUCAAGGUUCACUGUACAAUAUCAUAUAUAGAGAGGAAAAUAAAUUAAAUUGUUUUUCAAAAUUACAGCUCAACCAUUUAGGAAGGAACACCUGUCUUAUUCUAGAUUAUUCUUCAGAUGAUUUGUUUCGUGCUCUCCAAGUGUGUAAGAGGAAUUAUCUCCUGUGUGAGGUGUAUGGUUAACAUGCCCCCUCGAGCCAAGCGGGGAAAAGACAACAGCGAGGCUCGUCCGAAGAAGAGUGAACCUCGGAGUUGAUAACGGUUUUGUAAGGAUGUCCGCAAGCUGAUCUUUGCUAGAAAGAAAUGAGACGUGCAAUGCCUUGGCUUGAACCCGUUCACGAACAAAGUGAAAAUCCAUUUCGACAUGUUUAGUGCGAGAAUGAAAAACUGGAUUCUUGGACAGGUAAGUUGCACCGAGAUUAUCACAGAAUAACGUUGGAGGAGAUGAAGAGCUGAUGCCCAAUUCUGUCAAUAGUGAUUGUAGCCAGAGUAACUCACAAGUUGCAAAGGCAAGGGCUUUAUAUUCGGCUUCGGUACUCGAACGAGCAAUGGUGGCCUGUUUCUUUGAACUCCAAGUUAUGAGAUUUCCACCAAAGAAGAUGCAAAACCCUCCUGUAGAUUUACGAUCAUCAAGACAACCAGCCCAAUCGGCAUCGGUGAAGGCUGUUAAUGUAUUAGUUUGUGACGGUCGAAGAAGUAAUCCAUGAUCCAGAGUAUGUUUCAAGUAACGAAGAAUCCUUUUGACGGCUGUCCAAUGAGAAAUGCACGGAGCAUGCAUGUAUUGACAAACUUUGUUGACCGAAAAGGCUAGAUCGGGUCGAGUGAAUAAGAGAUAUUGUAAGCUGCCAACAACACUCCGAUAUAAAGUAGGAUCCUCGAAAGAACAUGAAUCAAAGGCGGACAAUUUGGUGGAUGCAGCCAUGGGGUUGGUUACAGGAUUACACGUCAACAUAUUCGUUUUGCGUAGUAAAUCGAGGAUGUACUUUCUUUGAGAGAUAAAAAGACCAGACGUAGUACGAGAGCAUUCCAAACCCAAGAAAUAAUGGAGGCCACCUAAAUUUUUAACAGGGAAAUCGCGUUCGAGAUAAGCGAUCAAAGUGGAAAUAACAGCAGAAGAUGAGCCAGUGACGACGAUAUCAUCAACAUAGACGAGAAAAUAAAUAAUCACAGAGCCUUGUCGAUAGAUAAAUAAAGAUGCAUCAGAUUUGGAAGCAAUAAACCCCAACUCAAGUAAUCUGGAACUCAAACGUGCAAACCAAGCACGAGGCGCCUGCUUCAGUCCGUAUAAAGCUUUGUUUAAUUUACAAACAUGGUGGGGAUAAUCGGGGUGAACGAAACCAGGUGGUUGAACCAUAAACACCGAUUCUUCCAAAGACCCAUGUAAAAAUGCAUUUUGGAUAUCCAACUGUGUGAUAGACCAAUUGAAUGAUGUAGCAAUAGAUAGAACUAACCGAAUAGAUGUUGGCUUGACAACGGGGCUAAAAGUUUCAGAAUAAUCCAAUCCUUCUUGUUGAUUGUACCCCUUGGCCACCAAACGGGCCUUUCGUCUCUCAAUGGAACCAUCAGCGAGAUAUUUUGUUUUGAAGAUCCAACGACAACCAACUAUAUUUUGCUCUGGUGAUGAUGGCACUAGCGUCCAUGUUUGGGUUUGCAUAAGAGCAUCAAACUCCUUUUGCAUAGCCAAACGCCAUUCUGGGUAUUUUGAAGCUUGUGUGACCGUCGUAGGUUCAUCUGGUACGGAUGAUGAUGAUUGAGUGAUGAGGGCAUGAGGCCAAGGAAUAGUGCCGUCUGAGCGGAUCUUAGGACGAUAGUGGUUUGUUUGAGAGCGGGUGGUCAUCUUAUGAGUUGGAGGAGGAUGAGAGAUAUGUGGUUGUUCUGAGGAGUUGUCAACGGGAAUUGAAUAUUGAUUUGAUGCUAAAGGGGAGGAGGAGCUGCAAAUGUCAGUGGUUGAUGGGUUUGGUUGAUGGGUUUGGAUCAGGGGAGUGAGAAAUUGGGGAUAGUGAACUAGUGGGCUGAGGUGUAGAAAUAAUAGGUGGACUUGGUAAGAGAGGAGGGAGAGUGGAAGGGGGUAAUGGGCUUGGAGUUGGGCUUGGAGUUGGGCUAUGUGGUGGACUGGGUUGUGAAGGAAUUGAGAGAGGUAAAAGUGUAUUUUGAAUUGGAUGAGGAGGAGGAGUAGAAUAUGUUUGGGACAAUGAAUAAGGAAAAUAAUUUUCAUCAAAUUUGACGUCUCUAGAGAUGUACAUCCGAGACGACGGAACAUGAAAGCAUAAAUAGCCGUGAUGAGAUGAGCUAUAACCAAGAAAAAUACAUGGAAGGGAGCGAAAGUCCAUUUUGUGUUUGUUAUAAGGCCGAAGGUUAGGCCAACAUUGACAGCCAAAAUUUUUAAGGAAAAGGUAAUUUGGUUUUUGGUGAAAGAGAAUUUCGUAUGGUGAGAGGUGAUUUAAUAUAGGAGAAGGUAGUCGGUUGAUUAGAUAUACGGCUGUAAGAAAAGCAUCGGACCAAUAUAAAAAUGGUAACGAUGCAUGGGAUAGAAGAGCAAGUCCCGUUUCAACAAUGUGUCUAUGUUUACGUUCCACCGAACCAUUUUUGAGAGUGAGCAUAUGGACAGGAAAUACGAUGAUUAAUGCCAAGGGAACGUAAAACCGUAUUUAAGGAACGAAAUUCUCCACCCCAAUCGGUUUGCAAAGAACGGAUGGUAAAUCCCAAAAUUUUUUCGACAUUCUUUUUGAAAGAGAGAAAGGUAUUAACUACCUCCGAUUUACAUUUUAAAGGAAAGAUCCAACUAAAACGGCUAAAAUCAUCAACAAAUGAAAGAUAAUAUUUAUAACCCCCACGAGAUAUAUGUGGUGAAGGCCCCCAAACAUCUGCAAAAACUAAUUGAAGAGGGAUAGUGGAGUGAUGUGGAGAUGUGGAAUACGGGAGUUGAUGAGCUUUAGCUUGACAACAGGCAGAACACAAUUGUGAUGAAGUGUUUGAACUUGUGGAUGGAAGAGAGUGGUUGGAGAUAAUCUUUUGUACUAACUGUAAAGAUGGAUGGCCAAGUCUGGAAUGCCACAAAGAUGGAGAGGCACAAACACUGAGAUGAGCUUGAGGAGAAGGAGGGGGGAACACGUACAUGCCAUCUUUAGUAGAGCCUUGGAGCAGGGUGUGUCGGGUUUGAGAAUCCUUCACAAGGAAAGAAGAAGCAUGAAACUCAAAAAAUACAAGAUUAUCUUCACAAAAUUGCCUCACAGAUAUUAAAUUCUUGGAGAUAGAAGGAACAUAAUAAAGUUUAGAGAGAAGAAAAUUGCCAGUGGAGGAAGAGAUGUUGGAGCUGCCAACAUGGUGGAUAGGAAGGCCAGAACCAUCACCGAUGCGAACUUGGUCACUGCCCUUGUAUUCCGACGGAUUAAUGGAGAGAUUACUAAAAUCAUUUGUGAAAUGAUGGCUGGCGGCUGUGUCCGGAAACCAAGAAGGAUCGGCUGCGGCUGCAGUGUAGUGAGCAGAGAGUGCCGGCGGCGGUGGUGGCUGAUAAUUAAAAUCAUAUCGGUGAUAACAAGUAGCCGCCGAGUGGCCGGGUUUGAGACAGACCUGACAAGUAGGACGAUCGGAGGUAAACUGAGCGGGCGUAAUGAAAUUAGAUCGUCCACCACGAUUCCGACCGCCACGACCACGAGGGGUAUGACGACCCCUGUGAAAACCUCGACCCCGCUGAAAUUGAGGGGACUGCCGAAUGGAGUUAUUGGCCGAGAACUCCGUAUUGGCGGUGAGAUUUCUGAUUUGGUGAGAUAUGCGGGAUUCAUGAUUGAGCAGAUGGGCAUAUACUUGGGCGGGAGACAGAGAAUCAGCUCGGGUGGUGAUGGAGGUGACGAUUGAAUCAUAGUCCUGACCCAAACCAGCCAAAAGAAAAACAACAAACUCAGAUGGGGAUAUGACUUUACCGGCCAUGGCUAAGGAGUCCAUUAAGAGUUUCGCUCGGCGAUAGUAAACAGAAAUAGAGUCAGACCCCUUUUUGAGGGUAGAAAGUUGAAACAAUGUUUGCAUAAUAUUGGCCUGAGAUGAUGCUGCAAACAGAGUUUCAAGAAUAGUCCAAACCUCUCUAGAGGUAGUGGCAUCAAGAAUAUGAGCAAUGACGGAUUCAGAAAGUGAAGAGAUUAGAAUACUCAUCACAGAUUGAUCUUGUUGCAACCAAAUGGAGUAAUCGGGGUUAGGGUUAGAAUCGGGAUCUAAGAUUGGGGGUGGAUGAAUAGUUCCAUCAACAAAGCGAAAAAGAUUAUGACCUUUAAGAUAAGGCAGGAGUUGUGCUCGCCAUAAGAGAUAGUUGUCAUCAGAUAAUUUUAUAGAGACAAGAGAUGAAGAAGACGGAAGAGAUGGUGGUGCAGGGGUGGAGGAAGGAAGAGGUAGGAUCGGAUUUGCUCCGGUGGUGGUGUUGGCAGCCAUGGAAAAAAGGGCAGAAGAAAGGAAAAAAAAAAUAUUAGCUGGACGUUUGUCCUAUACUGGCUCUGAUUACCAUAUUGAGAUAUGAGAGAGAAAGUGAAACAUAGAAAGUAAAGAGGAAUUGAUUCACAAUUGUUUUCAUUGAUUUCAAGGUUCACUGUACAAUAUCAUAUAUAGAGAGGAAAAUAAAUUAAAUUGUUUUUCAAAAUUACAGCUCAACCAUUUAGGAAGGAACACCUGUCUUAUUCUAGAUUAUUCUUCAGAUGAUUUGUUUCGUGCUCUCCAAGUGUGUAAGAGGAAUUAUCUCCUGUGUGAGGUGUAUGGUUAACACUCUUCAACCGAUGCACAACCACCACCAAUCAAACACGUGGAAGACGAUGAUAACGAAAAUCGGAGCAUCUCCAAUCGGGUUUGGGUCGAGACGAAGAAGCUGUGGCGGGUCGUGGGCCCCGCCAUCUUCAGCCGGGUCGCUACGUACGCCAUGUUCGUCAUCACACAGGCCUUCGCCGGCCACCUCGGCGACCUCGAGCUCGCCGCGAUGUCCAUCGCCAUCACCGUCAUCAUGGGCUUCGAUUUCGGCCUCAUGGUAAACAAAAUUAAUUUUAUAUCUGAAUCGAUUCCGAUUUCGAUUUCGAUUUCGAUUUUUUGAUUUUGAUUUGUCAGUUGGGAAUGGCGAGUGCGUUGGAGACGCUGUGCGGGCAGGCGUACGGCGCGAAGAAGUACAGCAUGCUGGGGGUUUACCUGCAGCGUUCGUGGCUGGUUCUCUCUCUGUGCUGCGUGGUGACGCUGCCGGUGCUGCUCUUCGCCGGACCGAUUCUGGAGGCGCUGGGACAGCCGGCGGACGUGGCGGAGAUGUCCGGUGUGGUGGCGCUGUGCUUCGUGCCGCUCCACUUCAGCUUCGCGAUUCAGUUCCCAAUUCAGAGGUUUCUGCAGAGCCAGCUGAAGAACAGUGUGAUUGCUUGGAUGAAUUUGGGGGCGCUUGGGGUGCACGUGCUGCUGAGCUGGCUUGUUGUUUACAGGCUGCGACUGGGGGUUAUUGGUACCGCCCUCACUCUGAAUAUCUCGUGGUGGGUGGUGGUUUUGGGGCUGUUCUUAUACACCGUCUGCGGCGGUUGCCCGCUGACGUGGACUGGCUUCUCCACCGAGGCGUUCUCCGGUUUGUGGGAGUUUCUCAAGCUUUCUGCUUCUUCUGGUGUCAUGCUGUGGUACUCUCUCUCUCUCUCUCUCUCUCUCUCUCUCUCACACACACUCUCUCUCUCUCACUCACACACACACUUUUCAAAUAUUCCAAUAAUAAAUUAAUAAUUAAUCUAAACUCAAAAGACUUGACGAACAGUUAUAUAUACUAACCUUAAUGUUAGUCCCUUAAUGUUAGUCCAAUUUCAAAAUUAUAAUUGAAUUUGUAUAAAAUUGGAUUUACUUUUAAUGAAAUUAUAUAAUUUGUGAAAUCAAAUCCUUAUUUUUUUCUACAAAUUUAAAAAAAAAAUAUAUAUAUAUAUAUAUAUAUAUAUAUAUAUACCACGUUGAUUGUACUUGCUAAUAAAGGUAGGGAGCAAUCAUAUUUAAUUUCAAUAAGUAAAUCUAACUACCAAUAAGAGUCAGGGUUGUAUCGGUCAUGUCUCGAACCGUCGCGCUCAUACAAGGGUCGGAGCAUUCAUGGCUCGAUGUAUAUAUGUACCAAACUACGUACCUGGAACUAAUUACAAUUCCGAACCAAAUUUUGGUUCGCUAUAAUUCAAUACAAAUAUAAUUUUACGUACCAAAUGAAUCGAACCCUCCUAUACAACUAAUUAGUUUGAAUUAAUUAAGUAAUUUCUUUUUUUAGAAAAAUAUGACUCUAAUUUUCAUACUUUUUUUUUAAUUGUGACCAGCUUGGAGAAUUGGUACUACAGAAUUCUUAUAGUGAUGACCGGAAAUCUGAGCAACGCCGAAAUCGCAGUCGAUGCUUUGUCCGUUUGGUAUGCAAAUUUAAGUCUUCAUUUUCAGUCAUUUUAAAUAACUUUUUUUUUCGUCUUUCCAUUUUGCAUCGAUUGGUCCCUCGUAAAUUUUCUAUCUUGUCUUGAACUAAAAGUCGUGUUUAUAAUACGCACGCAAAUAUGGCUUUUUUUUUUUUUUUUUAAUCUACCUUCUAUAACAUGCAUUUUUUCUACAUAUUUUAUUUGUUUGUUUAAUGUAAUUUAACCAAGUUGAGAUUUGAUUUGACAAACGCAUCUUGAAUCGAGUAUCUAGCAGUUUGUUUUAAUUUUCGUCACUAGAAAACAAAGUCACGAUUUUAAUAUGAAUUUGUGUCAUUUCAUGUGACGUGGCAUUUCUAUAUAUGUAUGGAAUUUUCUUUGUGUGUGUGGCAAUAAAUUCUUAUCAUUACAUUACAACAUUACACGACGGUCAUUUUCAUUGUUUUGCUAUCGGAAUUCUCUUCUUCUUCUUUAUGGACAUUUUCUUUUUGUAAAUAUAUAUUUUAAUAAAAUAAAAUAAAAUAAUAUUGUGUUUUAACUUUAUCUAUUUGGUGCUUUGUGUAUAAAUGCAGCAUGAGCAUCAACGGUUGGGAAAUGAUGAUUCCUCUUGCAUUUUUCGCUGGAACUGGGUAAAUAUAAUAUAGUAUAAUAUAAUAUAUCGCUUAUUAUUUAUUUAUUUAUUUUGUUAUUUUAUACUUGUGAUAUAGUAAUAUAUUCUUUUUAUCGUUAUUAGUGCACAAAGUCGAAAUUGGGAAAGAGUAGACUACGUAAAAAUCGUCGAGAAAAUUUACAAUAAAUUUGGGGUAAUUAGAUACCACACGUGAAUUCAUGUAUUAAAAGAAUUUGUGAAAUAUUGAGGGGCCAUGGCCCCCGGGCCUAUGCUGGUGACAACUGACAAUCAUAUAGAUGGUCCUUAGUUUACUAUACAGAUGUCGAUAGUUGAUGCAUGCAAAAUUGAGGUCCACACAAAUGGAUUUUUGAAGUUUUUGUUUUCUUUUUUGAGAGGGCAUGUAUAUAUAUAUGAAGUUAAUAUGUAUGUAUAUGUGUAUGAGUAUAAGUUUGAAGGGUAAUUUGGUAAUAAUGUUGUGGUUGCAUGUACGACGAAAACGAAAAGAGUGAGGGUGGCGAAUGAACUUGGAGCAGGGAAUGCAAAAGGAGCAAAGUUUGCAACAAUAGUAUCUGUGAUUGAAUCAGUGAUAGUGGGAUUAGUGUUUUGGGUACUAAUAAUGCUAUUCCACAAUGAAUUAGCCCUAAUUUACACAUCAAGUGAAGUUGUUCUAGAAGCAGUUAGCCACCUCUCUCUUCUCUUGGCUUUCACUAUCCUCCUCAACAGUGUUCAACUGAUUCUUUCAGGUAUUUUUUUCAUUCUCUCUCUCUCUCUCUCUCUCUCUCUCUCUCUCUCUCUCUCUCUCUCUCUCUCUCACACACACACACACACACCUAAUUAUUAACCAAGCUUUUGAUUAAGAGGGUCAUUCAACAUAGAUGAAAUGAGGUGUGAAUAGGGGUGUGAGCUGGACUGAUCGGAAUUAGCAUUUUCAGAAAAGAAAAAAAAAAAGGCCAUUUUUUUGGAAAGUGAAAAAAUAAUUCUAAUUAGAUUCCAAAAAAUCAAAAAAUUAGGAAAUCAGUUAAAUGAAAACAAAUUUUCUAAAAUGGAAAUUUUCGGAUCAACAUUGUCGGAAUACAUAAUUUUUAAAUUUUAAAUCACCUGUAAGAAAAAAAAAAAAAAAAAAAAAAAACACAUUAAGUAUUCAUAUUCGUAAGUGUAUUUUUCGGAAAAGAAGCAUUGGGAUUUUCAUAAAUACUUUCGAAAAUUAAAAUUGGAUCAGAAAUAGGAAUCUAAAAUAUAACCCAAUUCCCUUGCAAAAAAACAAUAAAUCAUAAUGAAAUUUUGUGUUCCAUAAUCGGAAACAUUCAGAUCGCAGUGGGCAAAAUCCCGAAAAUUUUGUUCCAACUUCAACCUCAUGUGAGGGAUACCGGCCUUAUAUACUCAUAUACUGGUUCCACCGAUGAAAUUAAGAUUUUCUAUAUCCUUAUAUUUUCUCCCCACUAGUAAGUUUGACAAGUGAAUUCAUUUUCAUCAAAAUAAAUAACUAAAUUUGUAUCAUCCCCCCCACCACCAAUCUGUUUUAUUUUUAUUCUUAUUUUAUUUAAGGUGUGGCUGUUGGUUCGGGAUGGCAGUCAUACGUGGCAUACAUUAACCUUGGUUGCUACUAUUUGGUUGGACUCCCACUUGGAGUUCUCAUGGGAUGGGUUUUCGAUCAAGGAGUUAUGGUAUGAUUNNNNNNNNNNNNNNNNNNNNNNNNNNNNNNNNNNNNNNNNNNNNNNNNNNNNNNNNNNNNNNNNNNNNNNNNNNNNNNNNNNNNNNNNNNNNNNNNNNNNNNNNNNNNNNNNNNNNNNNNNNNNNNNNNNNNNNNNNNNNNNNNNNNNNNNNNNNNNNNNNNNNNNNNNNNNNNNNNNNNNNNNNNNNNNNNNNNNNNNNNNNNNNNNNNNNNNNNNNNNNNNNNNNNNNNNNNNNNNNNNNNNNNNNNNNNNNNNNNNNNNNNNNNNNNNNNNNNNNNNNNNNNNNNNNNNNNNNNNNNNNNNNNNNNNNNNNNNNNNNNNNNNNNNNNNNNNNNNNNNNNNNNNNNNNNNNNNNNNNNNNNNNNNNNNNNNNNNNNNNNNNNNNNNNNNUAAAUUUCAUUUAUACAGAACUACCCCAUUAAUUAAUUGCUAAAAUAUUUUAAAUUUCAGGGUAUUUGGGCUGGUAUGAUAUUUGGGGGAACUGCAUUUCAGACACUCAUUUUGGCCGUUAUCACAAUUCGAUGCGACUGGGAAAAAGAGGUAAGAAUCGCCAAAAUAUCAAAAUUUUGUUACAACUUUCAUGAGUAAACUGCAAAAACUACCCCUGUGUAAUCCCAAAAUAGCAAAAACCCCCCUGUGAUAAAUAAACUAGCAAAAACCCCCCCUGUGAAAUUAUUUUAAUAGCAAAAACCCCCCUAUGGAACUAUUUGAGGGUUGACUUGAUAUAAAAAGACACAAAUACCCCUGGAGUCUUGCAAUUAAUAAAUUCUUAUAUUUUAUAAAUAUUUUAAUUAUUUUAUUUAAAAAAUAAUCAAUUUAGUUGUUUACUAUUUUUUUUAAUUUCUAAACAAAUAAAUUAAAAAGAAUAAAUAUACAUAUAAUAUGUAUAUAUAUAAAUACAUUUUGAGGGACAAUUUUGUCAUUUCAAGUCUAAAAAAUCAGCUAGGGGGGAUUCUGCCUUUGACUAAAUUUCACAGGGGGGUUUUUGCUAGUUUAUUUAUCACAGGGGGGUUUUUGCUAUUUCGAGAUAACACAGGGGUAGUUUUUGCAGUUUACUCCAACUUUCAUAGUAGCCGCCAACAAUCUUAUCUGAUACACAUCGUGUUUAUUAAAACGCAGGCGGCCAAGGCAACUACGCACGUAAAAAAGUGGUCGGAAUCAACAAAUAAUGCUGCAUGAACAAAUUGAACGGAUAGAAUUGAUGAUCUUUUUCUUGCUCGGAAAGUUGGUAGAGUUUCAACAUUUUUUGUUGAUGAAUUAGUUGGGAAUAACUUCGAUAUUAUAUUCGACAAAAUAUAACGUUGCAUGAUGAAAAUAAAGUUUCAACUGUACUUUAUUUUCCUGGUAUUUUAGUAAGUAUAUGAUCCAUAAGGUUAUGUAACAAGGAAAUUGAAGACUGUAAUAUAUGGUUUUUCCAGUAGUUUGUAAAGUGCAAUUUAAUCUGUCCAAAACAUACAUAUUAAAUUAUAUUUAAGCCUAUAUAUGUAUAUAUAUGCUGAUGAUCUAUUAUUUUAAUUACACACAUCAAUAUAUAUUUAUUUACUUUGUACAUCGGUACUCCGGCUCGGCUGCCUCCGGAGACGAACGGGGUUGGCUCGGGUGUCCGAGUUCAGCUUGGAUUGGAAAGUGCGACCGAGUUGGUCCGAGUUGGAUUAAUUGGAAAAUAUGAUUAAUAUUAAACAUAUUUUCAAUUUUUAAAUUAUUCCAGUUUAUUCCACACCAGAUGCUCCCGCUGCCCCUGUAAACACUCUGGAGCCAUUUCUAGAGAGAGAAACAGAGGAGAGAGAAACAAAUUAGAGAGAUGUCAAGCAGAAGCUAUCAAAAUGAAGAAACCCUAACAACUCCCCUGUUAGACUCAGGCCCGGCCCUAGGCUAUAGGCAACUUUGGCCUAUGCCUAGGGCCCCCAACUUAUGAGUAUUAUAGUUGGGGCCCCAAAAAUUAUGUUUACUAUAGUUAGGGCCCCCAAAUACGAAAUAAAAUUUAUAUUUUCUUAUUUAAAAAAAAAUAUUAAUAUAUAUAGCCUGAAUUUUGUAAAAAAAAAAUAAUAUACUAAUUAAUAAUUUUAAUACGUGUAUUUAAACUAAAAUAAAAAUAUCCAAAAUAUUUAAUUUUAUAUUAAAAAAUUAAUGUAAAAGGCCCCAAAUUUAUUAUUUUGCCUAGGGCCCCAUAUGGGCUUGAGCCGGCCCUGGUUAGACUACACUUGCUCUUCAACCGAUGCACAACCACCACCAAUCAAACACGUGGAAGACGAUGAUAACGAAAAUCGGAGCAUCUCCAAUCGGGUUUGGGUCGAGACGAAGAAGCUGUGGCGGGUCGUGGGCCCCGCCAUCUUCAGCCGGGUCGCUACGUACGCCAUGUUCGUCAUCACACAGGCCUUCGCCGGCCACCUCGGCGACCUCGAGCUCGCCGCGAUGUCCAUCGCCAUCACCGUCAUCAUGGGCUUCGAUUUCGGCCUCAUGGUAAACAAAAUUAAUUUUAUUUCUGAAUCGAUUCCGAUUCCGAUUUCGAUUUCGAUUUUUUGAUUUUAAUUUGUCAGUUGGGAAUGGCGAGUGCGUUGGAGACGCUGUGCGGGCAGGCGUACGGAGCGAAGAAGUACGGCAUGCUGGGGGUUUACCUGCAGCGUUCGUGGCUGGUUCUCUCUCUGUGCUGCGUGGUGACGCUGCCGGUGC
rnacentral:lncRNA from 1 species